UACAGAGGUCUCAAGCGUUGUUCGGAUUCAUUGGGCGUAAAGGGUGCGUAGGCGGCGCGGUAAGUCGGGUGUGAAAUCUCGGAGCUUGACUCCGAAACUGCAUUCGAUACUGCCGUGCUUGAGGACUGGAGAGGAGACUGGAAUUUACGGUGUAGCGGUGAAAUGCGUAGAUAUCGUAAGGAAGACCAGUGGCGAAGGCGGGACUCUGGGCCGAUACUGACGCUGAGGAGCGAAAGCGUGGGGAGCGAACAGG
rnacentral:rRNA from 1 species